GGAGAGAACGGGUAUCUUCUUGAUCGCAUUAAAAUGAACAUUAAUGGAAAGAACAGUUAGACUAUCACACCAGCCUGCAAGGAUUUGUACUGGCACACAUUCCCACGGCAGUGAGAUGGCAGCUCAAAGUCUGCCCGUGCCUUAGGGACAACAGUUGUAGGACACUGACUCAGCACAUAGGAUGUCGUGAGGUCAGUCCCCGAUAUCCUCUGAAUUAACGGUGCUUGCAAAACAACAAAAGAUCAAGGCUAACAGACCAAAACACUAAUCACUGGCAUCGACCUUACGGGACAUGCAUAGGCAGCUGGACUGAAAGAUCAUUUGCUGUCUACAUGUGUUUUUAAUCUCCAGAGAUUCCAUCACUCCCAACCGGCUGAAACAAGUUGAGAAAACCAUGCACACUAGUGAGAGUGGAUGUCCCAAGCACAAAGAGAACAUGGAAAGUAUGUUGAAUCCAGAUGAUCCAACCCUCUGUUCUCCAGUCCUGCUGGCACACCUAGAGGCCAAUUCAGGGUUUGCACUUUCUUAAUGGUAAAAGC
rnacentral:lncRNA from 1 species